UUCGGUUGACCUUGUAUUAGAUACCGACGCGCUUCUACCAUUACCUGACGUUGUUUCAGAGACAACGUUGAUGCGAGAUGCAGUCGGAUCCUUUGUUGGAUGACCGUCAGAUCUAAUUUUCCCAGAUGCCGAGACUCCUACAAGACCCACACAUAAAGCUGGUAAAGGGAUUUCAAGACGCAUCGAGUCAGUUGCAUCUCAAAAAGAGGUUCCCGGUCGAAAGUUGAAAAAAGCUGGUAACGAUAUUCCAACGACGUCCGGGACAAAAUCUCAAAUUAUGAUGCGUCUUGAGAAAAUGGUGGAAGAGUCCGAUAUUAUGCACGGCGCCAUCCGUAGUGUAGAUUUUGAUGAAGGUGUUUUCGGAAUUGCUCAUUCCGAAAUAAUUGCAAAGGAGGACAUGCAACAACUUUUUGAACACGAAG